AUAUCCUGUAACAUAGAAGGACAGGAGAGAUGAAAACAGAGACAAAAACCAGAGAGACGACAAGUGGGACAGAGAAGAAGGAAGAGGAAAAAACCAGCCUGAUUUUUCACAAUAUGGGUCAGAUUUUUUUGUUUUUUCAGUGUCAGUAGCAGCUUAUGAAGAGGCACAGGACAGGACUUAAGCUUACAGAGCACAGCCUCAGAAAUAAUGUCAAGCUACUUUAAAUGUCAUGUAUUCACUUUGCACCAUGUGGAUUAUGUUUAACUUCUGGGGUGUGUGUAAAGGUCUAGUUGUUUCCUGAUAUGCUGGAAUCCUUCAGUCUGUCUUUUAUUUAUGCCAAUAAAGACCACUUUAGUGAAUGGAAUUAAAAAGAUUUUAAAUUAAGUGAACUGGAGACACACUCAGUUGGUCAGAUGGAAACCAGCCUCUUCCUUCUCUUCUCUCUCUCUAUCACUCCAAACACCUCUAACAUGGAACCAUUUCCAUGUGAAAUAUAUGCAUGCAGUACAGGCUGCAUAUAUGAACGUGUUUUGCAUGCAUUUGUGUGCAUUUGCACUAUUUCCCUGAACAACCUCAUGUUCCUCUUAUCAUCCACUCUUUUAAAUCAUCUGUAUCUCUAAAUCCCCUUGUGUGUGUGUAUGUCAGUGACUGUAUUUGUUUGUGUGUGAGCUCCCUUUCUCUCCCAUAAAAAGCACUUUCUCCUGUGUUUCAUGGACUAGUGCCAUGUCUUUGUUCUUUGUUACAUUUUUCCUAUGGGAGCAGAAACACAAAGUCACGCACCCAACUAAACACUAAAACAGAGCAGGCAGAAACAAAACCACACUUGCUGAACAAUAUGCAUGCAAGCAUAGGCGCAUAAGCUUAACGCGCACACACACAGUAAUUUGCCUUCAGACAGAGAUUGAUGGUGUGUGGUGGAAUGAGCUGUAUUUCUGUUGCACGUAUAAGAAAUGCAAAAUGUCAUUUAAAAAUGUGUUUAACUGUUUAUGAUAUUAAAAUACUUCAAGAUAUAAUAUUAUUUCAGAGAAUACUUAAAAUACCAAGCUCACCAUCCCCCAACCAUCUUACAGGGCGAAAUCAAUUCGCAGUCCAGCUCAGUAGGGGACUCUGCCAUUUUCUGAGUCUCUUAUCAGUGCCAAAGUGUUUUGGAAAUCUGAUGUUUAUGUUUUUUAUUUUUAUGUCUCCACUCAGUUCUUCUCACCUGCCAGUGAGGGGGUUCACUGACAGAGUGUACUGCAUAUAGACGUUGCUGCUACAUUCACAGUGACGUAGAGGGACUUACUUUGGCAGCCAGCGAGAACCACCUCUACACCAGCUUCCCCAUAGUCUCUCCGGAUCUGAAACAGACGCAGGCACAGACCAAAGUCAUACCCUGCACAGCGUCUUGACUCCCACAGUAUCCAGGAAGUUGACAGGGCUGAGGUCGAGGAUGAUGGCGUUGGGGAUUGAGGGGUCAGGCUCAGGAUCCAUGUCAAUGACGGCAAUACCAUUCUGCUCCUCAUUCUCUGGCUCCCUCUCCUGUACCGGAGGAGACAAGACACCAUGCGAAGAGACUAAUGAGUGCUCUCCUGGCAUUUCUCUUCUCAAGCCUCUUCCUUUUGGCCUCUAGUUUCUUCUUUGCUGACAGGAUCUUGGUAAUGUCCAUGCCAGACUAAAGCAGCGGCAAAAGACAAUCACACAUGGUAACAGUUAAAGUCACACUCAUUUUGUACAGACAAAUUUUACUCUUUUUAUGCCUCUGCUACUCUUCUCAGCUUUUUUAUCUUCAGCAAAAAGCACCAUUCUAGUUUGAAAUGGCACCAGUUCUUGAGUAAACUUGAAUGAUGGAUACUUACUUGAUAUGGUUCACAUACUUUGAGAGUCACCACAUAUUUGGCUCAGAUUGUUGCAACUGCUGUAUCUUUCUGUUCUUUCAUAUUUAAUCCAAUAAGCUAAGUAUUUCGCAAAAAGCCAUAACGAAGCUCAAUAAAACCAAAGUGAACCGUAGAUCUCUUUAAACAAACAUCCUACACCAAGUCAUUGUUUUCAGCAUUUUAUCUCCCUAAGGUACUUGAAUCAACUCCCAGGUUAUGUAAGUAAGUAGUUGCUGUCUCUUCAUUCUUUCUCUCUUUAAUUGAAUUAAGUAGUCCAGGAAAGGACAGUCUGAUUCAUUUCAUGUCUACUUUCAUCUAAAUGUUUAAAAGAAAUGAGCACAUGAUUUUAGAAAUGACUAAUAAAAUCAAAAAAAGAAGACUUUUCCCAGGAGAGACCUGCUGUACAAAGAAAAUAUGUAAUAUGUAUGACGUAACUCAGUGAGGGGAAAACAGAUGUUUGUUUGUUUGAAAAUGGAUUACUGUAAACAGCUGUUGUUGUUACCACCUGUCUAUUACAAAUUAUUAUACUAUUAAUGAGAGUAUAAGUGGUGUCAUGUCAAGGUCAGUAAGCAGUUACAGAAACACAUGUUUAUAUAAGUUUAGCCAGUUCAGGUGGUGCAGCUAGACUGGGUGAGGCAGGUGACACAGUUAGCAGACUGAAGGAUUGUUGGCAUGCUCCUCCCUACAGCUACAGACAUGGGCCGGUUUUACUUGCUCAGGAAUGUAUAAAGUGAAAAUGCAAGUAACUAUGAAAGUUUGCUUUCCUGUAUUUCCCGACUAAAGGAAGCAACAAGUUAACAGACUCAGGCUGUAAGCAGUCAGGACCCUCUCACUUUUGUUGAAGCAAACAAUCAUUGGUCUUGGUGACCCCCUUAUCAUGCAUUUUCAGUGUAAAUAAUCGCUUAUAAAGUUACUGUAGAUGGCUCUGAACUCUUUUUGGAUGUUCGCAAGCAAAUCAAUGGGCCAUUACACAUCUCAUUUGCAUUUAAAUCAUCUUGUGUAGAAAAGACACUCAGUAAGGUCUAAAGCACAACCAGGAAAUAGAAACGUCUAGAAAAAUUGUUAUGGUCGUCAGUCACCAACAUCCAAUUGAUUUUUUCAUUUUUUCCACUAAUAAAAUGUCUGGAUGCACUUGCAAAGUGGAUCAGAAUUUCAUUAAAUCCACUGAGGCUUUCUGAUUUCUCCAGAAUUAAUUUGAUAACAAUUAACAUCUCAAAAUGUCUGAUUUCAGUCUAAAAACUCCUCUUGUUUCACUAGUCCAUGCAGUCACAGCCUUAGUAUUCCCUUACACAAGAUCAGCCCAUCAGCUUAGCAGUAUGAGAUCCCAUUUCCCCACUGCCUCUCACUAUUCCACGAAAUUUGAGCUGUCCUCCUGCCACAGUGAGUGUUGGAGGGGAAACGCUUAGCAUCCAGAUCUAAAACUUACUGAAAUUCAUCUGGCGGCAAAUUUCUCACCUUGUAAACAAGUGUACAGCCUCUGCCAGUCAACAACAGCUCUAAUGAAAGCUUAUUUGUGCAUCAAAGUUUAAAAAGAAAAAGAGCAACACAGUAGCUGUGGCAUUUUGACAUUUGAAUGAAUGAGAUGUUCUAUUAUCUCCAUCCCUUAUUCAGGUUCUGCUUCUCACCCUCCCUCAGACUUUUGUCAUCUCUUUUCUACCUUCCCUCAAUCUGUCUUCCCCCUUUGCCCCAAAGAGACAUGACAGGAGAGGAGGAGGAGGAGGAGGAAGAAGAAAAGAAACAAAGGUUUAGCAGAUGAAAGGAGAGGAGAAAAUGGUGGGAUGGCAUUUUGAACAAUGUCUGUCACAGCCGUGAUGUGUGAAUUGGUGAAAUGUCAGGUCAGUUAUUAAUGUGUCAGAAAUAAUGUUUGUAAGAGAGGAGUUAAUUGCACAGAAAUUGUGACAAGGGGGAUUGUUGCUGGAGUUGGUUGUUUCCCUUUCUCUCUCUCUCUCUCUCUCUCGUGUGUGUGUGUGUGUGUGUGUGUGUGUGUGUGUGUAGCUCUGGUGUGUUUAUCUGAAUGCUCAUAUAAAUCAGGGCUUGUGUGUCCAUCAUGGUGUGUUUGCAUGUCUGAUACUGCUUUUUGAGGGAGUAUCCACAUAUUAAUACCAUUAAUAUUUCUGUAUGUGUUUGUGUUCUGCUUUCAUGCACUUUGUGAGGACGAAUUUUAUUUUUAGACUUUGAGUAUGAGGACAUUUUUGGGAAGAUAUUUUGUCAGUUUUCCCUUCUUUAAAGAGCUGUUUAAAGGGUUGAGACUUGGCUUUAGGGUCAAUUAAAGGUCCAUUUAGGGUGUGGGUGUAUGCGUGUAUGUGUGUGUGUGUGUGUUUGUCCACACCUUCUUUCCAAGAGCAUUUUGGUACAUCUCAGCAUUGGCAAAGUAGAGGGUAGCAGACGAACGGAAGAUCAAAAUUCCUGGCACCUGCCUCACCUGAAAUCAAUUGUGUUUAGAUGACUGACAUCUGACAUCACUCAUUACAUUAAUACUGUCACCUUGCAUUUUUGAUUAUCUAGAUCAGUACGCAUACAAUGUGCCAUACCUGAGUGUAGUCCUCCAGUGGCCUGUAAAUGUCAGUCUGUGGGACCUGUCCUAAUAGUGAGUAUUUAGGCCUGGAAUGUGCACAAAACAAAUAAGUGUAUAAGUAAUUUGUAAUACUUUUAAUACGUCUUUCAGGAUGGUCUGAAAAGGACUGAUGGAUUCAGUUAAUUGUGGGGAGUAGUAAAUGAUAGCUUAAUUUGACACACUCUCCCAAUGUACAUGUGUGUUUGUUAUUGCAUAAUUGUGGGCAUGCUGCCCCUACGGCAAUGUCCUCUUACAGCUGCGUCCUGAAGAUGACAGUGAGCAUGGAGAAUGCGAUGGAAGCAGCCAGUCCCAGGUCAGGAUUGAGCAGCAAGUGCAGGGAUGUCCAUAAAUUGCUUCAUCAUGCCGUGGAGGUUGACAUAGAUGAUGGCGGCCAGCACUGCCUACACAAUCAAUGCGAGGGGUCCACUGUGUCUCAGAGGGCUGAUGCCAAAAGUGUAUUUGAGCUGGGACACAAUGACAUGGAUGGCAGCUCCUGUGGUGUAACCUCGGACCAGCGGCUCAGACAGAACAAAUGGGUCCCCCUUGCAAAGAAAAUCUGCUGCAAAAGUUUUAAAAAAGUUCCUUCCACUGUAAGAUGGCACAUCUGUCUUUAAGAAGAGUUAAUCCUGCCUGCAUGCACUGGCCCCCGGGCUUCAAAUCAAAAGUCCAUCAGAUCCAAGUGGAAGAAGUAAAGUAAAAUCCACAAGAGAGAGGAAUCUCUGACUAAACAGACAAGAAGGCUCCUGCAUAUAUAACGUUUCCUCUGUCUUCUCUGCCUCCUCUCUGUCUGAGCGGGACACAGCCUCUCUGUGCUGUGAGUCCACUGCUGCAUCUUGACACCUUGAGGAGACAUCUAGAUAUGACGUUGUGUGGAGGAAAAGAGGGCAAAGUUCCAAACUGCAACAGAAGUGGUAGAAAUUAGAGAUGACCCCGCAGGAUUUGACUUAACACAGAUCAUGGCACAGACGUACAUGCAACAGGACCCUGUCACCAAACAGUGAUGUUCCCACUGACCCUGCUGCGACACAUCUGUGAUUCAAAAAAUAAACUAGAAGUAGAUGUUACAGAUUGUUUACGUAUCAUGUAGUGUUUGGCAUGGCAGUAGAUAUUGCAUGUCAUUAAUUUGUGUUGUUGUAAGACUACUGUCUGUACUGUCUCUUCUUCUACCAUUUUUUUCCCCUUCUUGCUUCUGUCAGCACAGGUUCUAAUGUUUUGAAUGUGCCCUCUGUGUUUAUUGAUUAAAAUACUCUCUCAACCACUCAGCAAGCAAUGGACAUUUAUAAACUUUGUUCUCUGCCCUUGGAUUCAUUUCCUUGGUAUGAUACACCUGGCAGGUACCAUAUAACUACAAAUCUAUUAUUUACAAGGGCGAUAAGAGGGAAGGAUCGUUAAUGAUUGUAAUAUUAUUUUGUUAUCACAAUUACUUAGUGGUAAUAUUGAUUUUAUAGAACAUAUGGUAGCUCAAAAAUUUUUGCCAAUUAAUUUUUAAAAGCUGUAUUGUGUACUCAGUCAUUAUCUUUUUAUUUGUUUGAAAAAAAAAAAAUUAAAAAUUAUGCAACAAAAUAAAAGUUAUUUAUUAAAAGAAUUUCAUUUCCUUGUUCCUGUUCCAGUGUUUGAUUAAAAAAAAAAACUGUACAGAGUAUAUUUGUCUGUUACUGGUAAACAAUUUCUAACAAACCACAAUGUUUGAUUAGUCUUUAGAGUAUCCAUCCUAACAUAUGACACAAAUGGAGGAUUGUUUUGUUUGCUGAAAUUUUUUUGUGGGAUUGUGGGUUCGAGUCCCACCUGGGGUGAACAGUAGCAGAGUGGCGCAGCGGAAGCGUGCUGGGCCCAUAACCCAGAGGUCGAUGGAUCGAAACCAUCCUCUGCUAUCAGAGUUUUACU